CAAAUAUACAGAAAUGACUCACCAUUUUCUGUGCUGGACGUUUUAGACUCGACAGUGGAGAGAGAAAAUUCAUCUUACUGAUUGUAGCAUUGCAUUGGAUAAAAGGUCCUCGUCCAGUAGAGUGCCAUGGAUUACGGAAGGCUUAUUCAGUUGUCAAUAAUCGGCGUCUUAGUGUUGGUUCUCUUAAUUGGAGGAUUUGUAAUGUUAAUUGUUGUCUGCGUGAGGGCCUGCCUUGAGAAAAUUGUCAGGGUGGAGCCACACCCAGGGAAUCCGAAUCCGGAUAUCGUCACACCAGACAGGCUGACGUACCCAUGGCCCACCGUGCCAACAUCAAUCUCGACAUCACCAGCAGGGACACAGGCACCGUCCUCAUCGCCUGGUACAGACAUGACCAGUCACUAGACCAUCCAUACUGCUUCAGAGCUGGGACAAAAUUUGUUAUAUAAAACUUGAUUCCAAGAAGAUGGAAGUUUGACAUACACACUAACAGUAAUGCCAUUCUCGUGAGGUCAUUUUUAUACAAAAACUAUUUACACGAACCUGAAAUUGUUGUUAGGUUCAUGGAUAGAAAAAAAUAGAUCAAAAUUUGUCGCUUCAUAAAUAACCGGAUACUCGAUCUAGCAGCUCAUGGUAUUUAACAACAGUUUCUGCAUCAUUCACAGACCCUUGUGUAUUUGAUGUAUUCCUCACUACAUCCAACAUUUCCGUGUGUAUCUCCUGGAAUGCUGUUGUCUCCUUGUUCCCCUGGCUGCAGCGAAAACCACAAUGUUUCACAUAACAACAAAGUUAUAACUUGAACUUAUAUUUAAUAAGCAUUAUAUUGUCAAUCCAAAGAUGAAAUAUAUUAUAUAAGUCCAUAACAUUAUUAGGGAAACAUGUUAGUGCACAUUUAAUAUCCACAUGAAUAAUGUCAGAAAAGUAUACAUGUACAUCAGCCUACAGAUUAGUAACCUAUAAAGCAAGUUCUAUAAUUAAGAAAUAAUCUAACAUAUUUUUACCACAUUACACUCCAAGUUGUCCCGUAAAUAAUGGAACCUGGGCGAGGCAAACCAGUGACUGGCAGUGGAAAAUGUCCAAUGAACUCGAGGAACCAAGACUCACUAUCAACCAAGCCAUUUUGUCACCCAGAUUAGGGCCACACCAUGGAGAGUUUCUGGACAAAUGGGUUUCCAGAAUUAAGUGGACGUGUUGAAUUAUAUUGAACUUGAUUUAGAGCUCUGUUCAGUACAUGUUGGACCAAAUAAAGUUCAUAUACUUGA